rnacentral:lncRNA from 1 species
UCGUCCCUCUACAGGGAGACUUCAGAAUCAGAGGCUCCUGUAACUCAAUCUUUUAUCUCUCAAUGCCCCUUGGCAAUCAUUAUUUCACCUGACCGUUUGAUCUCUUUUUUUUUUCAACAGCUUGAGUAUAGGUUCACACGUGGCUGUUAGAGGAGAUGUGAACCAUGACAUGUAGUUCAAUCUACCUAAUAGACCACGAACCUCUCUCUUUUUUUUUCUCGGUUCAGGCAUUUCUCUUAUUGCUUUUU